rnacentral:rRNA from 1 species
CAAUAACAUGUAGCAUGGGAUAAUGGAAUAGGACCCUGUCCUCCUAUUUUCUGUUGGUUUUGGCAGCGCGAGGACUAGGGUAAUGAUUAAUAGGGAUAGUUGGAGGCAUUAAUAUUUAAUUGUCAGAGGUGAAAUUCUUGGAUUUAUGAAAGUUUAACUUCUGCGAAAGCAUCUGCCAAGGAUGUUUUCAUUAAUCAAGAACGAAAGUUAGGGGAUCGAAGUCGAUCAGAUACCGUCGUAGUCUUAACCAUAAACGAUGCGGACCAGCGAUUAGGAGACGUUGAAUACAAAACACCACCAUCGGCGCGGUCGUCCUUGGCGUCUCGCGUUCGCGCGCGGCGCGAGGGCGGCUUACCCCGGUGGCACCGGUGAAUGACUCCCCUAGCAGCUUGUGA